CCUCUGAAACAGGAGGUCUCAUUCCUAUUUGAAGACACUUAAAGAUACGUGAAGACAACUGUCAUGUUCACUCCAAGUCUUUUCUUCUCUGGGCCAAACGAAAAGGCUUUCAACAUGCUGGUGGCCAUCCUGAGGGACUACCCUGCUUCUCACCCAAAGCUUUGCAACUGAUAUGGGGAUACAGGAAUAGAAAAAUCAUCCAUCAAGUAAGACAGAAGGCACAGAAAGCAACUCUUCUAUGACUAAGGGGCUUCCACCAAUUGGUCUUACAUCAGCUGGGCCUUGUGUUGGGACUCCAACCUGGAAUCUGUACUGUAAGAUACCUUGAAAGAGGCCAGUUAGCUACUGCUUGAAGACUUUUACAGAGGAGAAACCCAAGGCAGUAGAUUCUUCUUUUGAAUAACUCUAAUGAAAACAUCAGAAGAAGUCCUCAUGAAACUACAGCAUAGUGAAAUGGCACCAGAAAGAAGCAACACAUAAGUUAUAGCUGUGCCAGGAAAAAAGGGCUCUGCACACCGGGACCCAAUAAAGGUUUGUUGAAUUGAAUGACUAACCAAUGAUGAAAAUGGAGAAAGCUGUAGUGAAGAUGCAGAGGAGUGUUUUUAAUUGGCACCAACAGCAUGGUGCUUCUUUGUGAAAUGUUUCCAUCUUGCACACACAGCGUGUGUCAUCCAGCCUAAACUAUGGUUGGCGGUCCCAGAUGGAAGUCACAAGUCAAGUGACGACGCUAACAUCAGGUGUGU